rnacentral:rRNA from 1 species
AACGAACGCUGGCGGCGCGUUUUAAGCAUGCAAGUCGGACGGCAAGAGUGGUAGCAAUACUGCUCCUAGAGUGGCGAACGGGUGAGUAAGACGUAGGUGAUCUACCUCUGGAUGGGGGAUAGUCCGUGGAAACACGGGGUAAUACCGCAUGAGGCCUUGUGGGUAAAGCCAUGAGGUGAAAGGUGCAAUUGCAUCGUCUGGGGAUGAGCCUGCGGUCCAUUAGGUAGUUGGCGGGGUAAGAGCCCACCAAGCCGACGAUGGAUAGCCGGCCUGAGAGGGUGUACGGCCACACUGGAACUGAGACACGGUCCAGACUCCUACGGGAGGCAGCAACUAAGAAUCUUCCGCAAUGGGGGAAACCCUGACGGAGCGACGCCGCGUGGACGAUGGAGGCCGUAAGGUUGUAAAGUCCUUUUCCUGGUGAAGAAUAGGUAGGGGAGUGGAAAGCCCCUAUGAUGACGUUAGCCAGGGAAUAAGCCCCGGCCAAUUACGUGCCAGCCGCCGCGGUAAUUCA